rnacentral:lncRNA from 1 species
CUUCCUCCCAGAUUCUUUUCUCUGCUGCAGUCAAUUCCCCCUUUUUCCAUUUGUAGAGACAAAAGGGAACAUUCUAUAACCACUGGCCUCUGUCCAGGAACACAGGAGAAAAUGAAGCAAGGCAAACAACAGAGAAAAGUGAACAACAAAAGAACAAACUCAAACGAAACUGCUUAACAAUCCUACAGUGCAGACCUGGCAGGAAGAAAAAGUGGAUGAGGAAGACCCUUUGGACAUCGUCAAAAGAGGCAUUGUUAGCAAAUGACGGGGGGCCAGUCCUGAAAGCCUGUGAGGCUGUGAGCAACUCUCCCACCUGCUCUUCUCUGUCUGUCCUACUCCUCAUGACAAUGACUCUUAUCCUGGAGGGCCUGCAGUAGCGUUUGACACACGUACCUCAUUUAAUUCUCACAAGAGUUCUAUGAAACAGGCUAGGAUUUGGCAAACCAUUGUCAGCUACCUGUUUUUGUAAAUAUAGUUUUAUUGGAACAUAACCACCACAAUUUAUUUACAUAUUGUCUAUAGCUGCUUUUACUCUACAAUGGCAGAGUUGAGUAGUUGUGACAAAAGCUCUAGGCCCUGAAAAGUGCAAAAUAUUUAUUUUACUAUGUGGCCCUUUACAGCAAAGGUGUGUUGACCCCUCAGAUAAAUGGGACAUUGCUCCCACUUUACAUAUGAGGCACAGAAAAGCUAAGCGCAUUGACUGAGAUCAUUUGGGUUAUAAAUUAUAGUGUCAGAGAUGUCUCGGACCCAGAGACAACUGUUCCCUAUGCUUUUCUCCUCCCUACCUUAUAGCAUCUCCUACUCUUUCACAUUCAUUUGUUCCUACUAAAUGUGUCAGCCAAAAAGAACACAUUCAUUUGCACUGAACAAGACGUCUCAGGUUGACCAUCACACAGAAGUCAACAGGAGGUUCUGGAGACUUGCAGAAAGUGAUCAUCCAGCAUAUCCUCUCCUCUCCUCUCCUAGCCCCUAAGGACUGAUUCGUAGUCUGCCCAGAGUUUAUAAGAGAGACAGUCAUCCAACAUGAAUAGAGAUGGCCUGAGCAGGCAUGGGCUCUUUGAAAUUCGGAGAGAUCAGCUCAAAGAUACACUGGGAAGAACCAGGUUGCCCCAAGCAAAAGGCAACAACUGCCCUUGGUUGAGCAAGAUUCCUUGGGAAGCUUAUUGGAGGCCCCACCUCUAAGGACAGGCCCACAUUUGCCUUGUCUGCCAUUCUUCCCUUACUGAUGUAUUCUGACCCUGUCUUGGCUUGAUUUAUCUUUGAUGUCUUUGAUGUUGCUCAUGACCAUGCUGCCUUCUUCCUGGGAGUUCCCAUCUGGUCCUGGUUUCUGCUUCUCUUGCCUUAGCUCAUACUCAAACCCUGUGGGUAACAGCCCACGUGCAACAGUGGUCUGCAGCUCCUGAGGGCUGUUGAAAAGAUUGCUUCAUUCAAUGCCAUAAAAAUAUCCAAGAAUACAGCAAUUGUUAUAGAAAUUAUGGUAAAUCUGCACAAUGAAAUAUUAUGCAGCCACUAAAACGGACAUCAAUUCAGAUUUCUAAAUGACACAAUGUAGCAGAGACAGGGCCAGGUUCAUGGGUGUGGGUCCUACACAGUCAUACAGGGCUCCACACUUACAAGGGCCCUACACUUGGUUUAAUGCUCCAUGGCUGCCACCUUGAAAUUCUGAAUAGUUUUAUAACAAGAGUCCUCCACAUUUACAUUUCACAUUGAGCCUAUAAAUUGUUAGCUAGUCCUGAGCAGAGAUGACUCUGAGUGCCCAUUUUCUCCUGUCUUUUAGUAAUAGAACCUCCUCCCUUUGCUUCAUACAUACACCCUGACUAGUGUUUCCACGCUGGAAUUCCUUCCCAGUAUUUCUUGAGAAUUUUUUAUGUUUCUCCAAAUCUCGAAAGAAAAAUCAGUCAAGAAAUUGGGAAAAAGUAUUGUAAUUAUCCUGCAGGAAUCAAGGCUUAAUGAUCAACAUAAAGACAUCACUGGUUUGAAUCCAUCAAUGUCAAAUGAAAAGCAAGAGCAGGAAAGGCUGGCAGGUGGAAGAGCAUAUAGCACAUAGGAGAGCACAUAGGUCAAGAGCUGAUCAGUCAAUCUUGCUUGUAGCCAUUGUCCUGUUCUAAGUGUGUGUUCUUGGCCCUGACUGAUGCUAAUGGCAAGUCAUUCUUGGAAAUAAAAUAAGCAGUAUUAGGUUUAUAUGUAUGUAUACUUUAUUCAAAUCCUGCUAGUGAUGUUCUAGGAAAUAACAAAUUUGGGAAGCAAAAUACGCCCUUAAUUGGCAAUUUCAAUGUGUGAUUCUGUGUAGUGCUUUAACCUUGCUAGGAGAUCUGAAUGUCACAUUCUUUGAAUAUUACCCAAAAAUGUUCACUGGUAUUUUCUAAUGUUUGAUUUUUUUUUUAUCUCAGGCUAUAGUUGUUUAUAAAUUUGCUAAAUGUAAUAUUUCUUAUUUAUUAAACCAAUUUCUUUUAGAUAUCCACAGUAAUGACUAAAGAGUAUAAAAAUUGCUGGAAGUCUUUUAUUUUCUUCUUGUUACUUAGUUUUCAUUUUGUAAUUAUAAACUUAACUCUGCGAUCCAGCUAGACAUGGAAGAGGAUAAGGAAAAUAUGGAACCCAAAGGACUGUGCAAAGAUUAUAGGAUGCUGUGAGCAAAUGGGGUGGAAGCAUGCUUUCCUGAGCUAUAGAAGGAACGAUCUGGUGGUUCAGAUAAAACAAUCAAAUUUAUUAGAGUUGUCCACAGUCAGCAGCUGUGAUCUUCUUGCUGGUCUUACCAUUCCUGGACCCAGAGCGUUCCAGGGCUUCCACAAUACUCAUGCCAUCUUUCACCUUGCCAAAGACCACAUGCUGUCAUCCAUCCUCUGUCUUGGCAGUACAGAAGAAAAACUGGGAACCAUUUGUGGUGGGUCCAGCAUUUGCCGUGGACAAGACGCCAGGAGCUGUAUGCUUAGGAUGAAGUUCUCAUCAUCAAAUUCCUUGCUGUAGAGGGACUUGCCACCAGUGCCAUUAUGGUGUGUGAAGUCACCACCCUGACACACACCCCGGAAUAAUUCUGUAAAAGCAGGGACAUUUAUCACCAAAUACUUUCUCUCCAGUGUUCAGAGCACAAAAAUUUUCUUCCAUCUUUAGAACUUUGUCUGCAAAUAGCUUGAAGGAGAUGCAGCCCAAGGACUCACUAUCAAUUGCAAUGUUGAAGAACACAGUGGGGUUGGCCAUGGCUGGUGGCAGGGAGUUCUGGGCAGCAGCGAUGUCUGCAAAUGGAAGUCUUUUCAGAAUAACACGAGUUUAUCUUUAUAACAAACCUAUACAUGUAUCCCUGAACCUAAAAUAAAAGUUUUUUUUUUAAAAGGAUAACUUAUUAUUUCAGAAAUUUCUAAGAAUUCCCAGGAAUUCCAACUUCUCAUUUGUAUAUCCUGAUGAAUAUCCACUGGGUAUUUGGAAAUGCCAAUUUCUGACAUAUGAUUGCUUAGCUAGAGACUGCAUUUCCAGCCUCCUUUGCAGGUAACUAUAGCCAGGUUCUAAGUUUUGGCCAAUGAGAUGUUAGCAGAAGUGAAAUGUGUGCCUUCUGGAUUUUAUUUUUAUGAGAAAUUUGCCUGUCUUCUAUUCUUUUUCCCUCUUCUCUCUGGCUCGGAAAUGAUGAAAAGUACAGGACUCACUGGGACCAAAAUUCAGAAAUUACAUGUUAAGGAAGAGAGGGCUGCUCCUCUAGCCUGUUCUCCUUAUGACCUUGUGGAACGGAAUUGCCUACCUGCCCUGGACUAUCCUAAGAUUGUCGUAUGGAGAGAAAUACAUUCUAUUUUAUUUAAA